GAAAUCACUAUGAUGAUGUGCAAGUAAUAAGAUUGAACUGAAAAAAAAUUGAAAUCAUUUUUGAAGUUUGUUAGUUUUUUUUCAUUUGAAAUAAAAAAAAAUCCAAAUCACUAACAAGAUUUUCAGUGCCGGCAAUUUCUAUUUCAUUUUCCAUCAACGAACAACACAUAUCAACAAAUAUAAUCUCCUGGAUUUUUAUAUAUAUAUCGUCAAUCAUUGAUCAUCAAAUUGCAUAUAUAUGAUGAUAAUGAGUGUCGUAAC